AGUUGGUUUAUUAGGUACACACUGUAGUCAAACUGGAUCUCCAAUCUAAAGUACUACUUUCGCCAGUGACCUUGACACCCAGCUUCGCCUCUCUGAGAUUCAGCUCUUGUUUCUUUAGACACAGAGCUUCUCCGCAACCGGGGUUAGACCCAGCCAGGAAGAAACCAGUGGAGUGCCAUUGCUGAAGAGAGCCAGCAUCCAUUUGUGGGAAAUAAGUAAGGCAAUCUGCACCCAGAUUUGCAGCAUCUGCUUCCUGUGAAGACCUUCUCGUUCAUGACUGUGCAGAAACGUAUCUUGUGACAGUUGAGCCUUCUGAGACAGCGUGACUUCUAACAUUGCAUAUGAAGGUCUUUAUUUGGUAAAGUUUUACCUGGUAGCCCACAUGGAAUGAUGUUAUAGAAAUGAAUAACUUAAAAUAUAUGUGCAUGUAUGUAUGUGUGUGUGUGUGUGUGUGUGUGUGUGUAAAACACAGCCCCAUUUGGGCUUUUUAAAACCACUGCUUCCUGCAUCUUAUGACUAAGCUUACGUAAUUAAGCCAAGAUCACUUUUUCCACUCCACCCAAACUUCGUAAAAACCUGUUGUAAUUUUUCCUUGAUUUAUUUGCUCUUUUGUAUUCCUUUUUUUUUCAAUUUCUCCAGACUAAUGAUUUCAAAUGAAAGACAUUCAGAUCAAUGGUUGACCCAAUGAUUAACUGAUUCUUUUAACACUGUAAAAAGAGAAAUCCAUUACAGGCUGGGGGAUGAAGCGAAGGAGGGAGGGAGUCUCUUAACAGCAGUCUGCUAUAUUUAUAGCUUUGGGCCUUGGCUCCCGAGGAGGUGGUGGAGGUGGUGGGUGGGAGCCAUGGUGGUGGUAAAUGAUACUCAUUUGUAAGCAUCAGCAAUAUUCACCAAGAAAAAUAAAGAAGUGAUUUGUGGAAUCCAUUAAGUUAUAGGCAUGAAUAAUAACUCGAGAGUUAGCAGUGUGGGCCUUUAACAGGUAUUUGAGUUUUAAAAUGCAGUAUACGUUGCAAUUUUCAGGGCAUGUGUCCUAAGUGGUAAGACAUAUGUCAAAAGCUGGUCCAUAAAACAAAACAUUCACACUGAAAACUUUAUUCACUUUGGCUUUGUCUUAACCUUUCUCUUUUAUCCAGGAAUGAAUCAAUCCACUAACAUUUUCAGAGACUGCUUUGGCCCGGCAGUCUAGUAGGGAAAAGGGAAGAAGCAAGGCUUAUCUAUAUAUAGAUAAAACACAAGCCCUCAGGACUUAAGACAGUUCUCUGGGGGCCAACCUUUCCUUUCCUACUGUCUCCACAAAUAUUUCCUAACUCAUUAACCAAAGCCUUCACAUUUGUGGUUGCUCUACUUACCGGAUACGAACGUAAGACACCUGUAUUUACUUAGCGACCAAACUGUCCUUGUAUUCCUGAUGACGAAUACAUCCCACAGUUUUUUUUCUAGAUGAGACUAUUGUAAUGUGCAAGGACAUGACCAGCACCUCUUCAAAUAAUAAUGUUGUCUACUGAUUAUUUCAAUCCAAUAUAGAUUUGAUACUGGAUUCAAUGUUUUAGAUGGUAAUGAUAAGAAACGCCUACUCUUUUCCUGCCUUCUUCUUUUUCUUCUGGCCUCAUUUCACUGUGCUAGCAGGUAUUUGUUUUCAUAAUAGCAGAACCAAAGGACCAUCAUUGGCACAGACUUUGGGGGAGUGGCCAAGUUCCUACAAGCCAUACCCACUUUUUGGCAUACACUGACAUAACAUGUAGCCCACGAAGACACCAGUACUUUAGAAGAUUAAAUGAUACUUCACAGUGAAAACUGUUCCAGAGUCUUUUUCCCAGCAUUCAAUUUUUCAUGGCCAACACUCUUCUGUUCAACUGUCUGGCACCGUGACCCAUGUAUGGUUACAGCCCCAGACUGUGGCAAAAGUAUCAGCUAUUUUACGUUUUCUUUUAACAUAAAAUCUCGGAGAUCUUUGUAAUAGUGAUACCUUGGAGGAAUGAGUGGGCUUCCAUCCAAAGUUUCAGAAAGUUAUAUUUCUAGAAUGAUAAAAUCGUAUUUUUAGAAACUGAAAUCGAGUCGGUUAUCUCUCGAUUCUCAUCUUUCGCUCUGCCUCCUGUGUCUUUGCUGUCUCUUCCAUUCCUGCUUUCUGAACGCACUGGCCAUCGAAGACCGACUUAGCAAGCGAGAAUGUUUCCUCGGUAAGGCUGCCACAAGUGUGGGCAACCUCUGCUGCCAGCCCAGUCCCAAGGCCAGGGUAGUCUCGAGUUUCGCUGACAUUUGCAAACCUUUGGGUAGUUGUCGACGGAGCUAUGAUUACAGAUGGAACUCAUUUGAUAUGUGGUCACUAGUGUCCCAGUCUGGCAGAGUAGCUGAUGUUUAGCUUUGUGUGGGACUUGGGAAGGAGUACAAAGGAGAAAUUGCAAGCCCUGUCCUGAGGUGGGGGCGGGGGGAACCUCAGGUGAAUUUCAGUUGCCAUGAGUCACUUAGCAAACCUUUGGCCAAAAUCCUUAUGAUUCCCUCUUUCCUAGUAGAUGACCUCUUUCCUAAUGGUAAUUUACACUUCAGAUUUUCAGUUUCUCCUGCAAAGGCCCCUUGACUGCUGAGGGAGCUCCUUUUGCUCCUUCAGCCAAUAGCCUUUGAGAUACCAGCCCACUGGGGCGUGGUAUCUUUUGCUUUAAAAUGAGGGCGGGAGCCCUCUGCCCUUGACUUCCAGCACAGCUCCCUUGCAUCUUGAAGCCUAUAGACAGAUGGUUUUGGGCAAUGGCAGAGUCCAACAGAAUAUCGUGUUGACUCAGCGACACAGUGCUGCUUUGCGUGGUGUCUCUGGUCAAAGCUACCAUGGAAGAAAAUGAUUAGUAGCUCUAGUUUUCCUCUUAGCUGUGGGAGUUAGGAGACCACUCUUACCAUUACUCAAUAAUCAGGAUUGACAGCGUUCUCAGAGGCCAAUAGCGACACUUUUCUUACGUCAGGUGAGUAUUUCAACUUGGAAGCCUCACUUGUAAAUGGAUGGACUUCAGAGUAAAGAAAGACUUUAUCAAAGUCAAGUUCAGGAGUAUCUUGAGUUUCUAUCAAGAAAGAGCAAUGAGGGGAGCCCUGAGAGUCUGCGCAGGAGUGCCCUCUUGUCAUGACUCCUGCAUGUGGAGAUUUUGAACCGUCAGCAGUGAAAGAAAUAUCUGUAACACUUAUUCUUCUUCAGUGGCAUCCUCCUUCCAUGAAUUCUGGGUGAAUCAUUAGCAAAGUCAUUCACAUGCUCUGAAGGAGGGGACAUCCUAAUUCCAAAUGCCACAAGUCAUUGGGCUAAGACCGUUCAUUAAAAACUUUUUUUUUCUGGUUAAUUUUAGGUCUGGCCUCAGAUUAUUUCUUAUGUCAGAGGUAUAAGAGGUAGCAGGAAGAAGGGACUAUUAUUGUACGCUGAGAUCUCAGGCCUGGGUGUGGCUUUGAAGUGCUCCCUCCAGACAGCAGCAAGGUGCCAGGCUGAAAGCAUCAGGACUGGCAAAGCUGUGUAUACAAAGCAGAGACUGUCUGUGUUUUUACUGCCCUGGACCAGCUUUUCUUUCGCCUUUGUUUUAACCUCUUUCCCAAUGUACAGUGUACUCUAUUCCUGAUUUUCCCAUCAGAUCCUUCCUCUCUUCCCGAUAGCAAGAGGAACCUUACUGGUGGGCAGAGAAAUGAACAAAAUACAUAACUGAAGUGUGUGUGUGUGUGUGUGUGUGUGUGUGUGUGUGAGAGAGAGAGAGAGAGAGAGAGAGAGAGAGAGAGAGAGAGAGCGCUAUAGCUCCCAUGUCAGGUUCCUUACAAACAACUUCCUGCAGUUUCACUAAAAGCAAAAGGGGCAGGCAUUGUAAUUGAGAUGAAAUGGGUAGGUGAGCAUCUCAACUAAGGUCCCAUGUUGGCCCCUUGGGGGUGGAUUACAAAUGAACAUCUCUUCACUAAUAUAAUUUAGAUUGAAUUGACAACAUUUCCUAAAUUCUACUGGAAAGAAACUUACUUUUUUUUGUGAUUCCCAAUCUAUUGCCUCAGUUCUCACCCCUACACGCGCGUGCGCGCGCGCGCGCGCACACACACACACACACACACACACACACUUCUUGAAAUGUGGUGUCAUGCAUCCCAGGCUGGCCUCAAACUAUGCAGUGAAACACAAAUAGUUCAUCUUCCUGUCUCCAUCUUUUGAGUCCUGGGAUUACAGAUGUGAGCCCCGCAGCGUGGGAGAGAAGCACUCUACCGAAUUAGCUACAUCUUCAGUGCUGUCACAUCUUUUAAAGAAAAUCAUUUUGAAUUUUCCAGAGAGAUAAGAAAUAAAUGGCUUGGCCACGUUGUCUUUUUGUCUACUUAAGCCUUAAAGUUAAACUUCUGUUGGGUCUGAGGGGCAUGGGGGCGGAGUUCUAGAGUUGAUGCUAACAAUAUGGCACAAUUCUUCAACUGUAAGAAAUGGUAGUGAUGAUGAUCAAUAUGUUGACUGUCAUUAUAUGAGACUUAAUGCUGUCUUCUUUCUGAGCAUUGGCUCAUUUGGUCAUGGAAUAAAUACCUUUAAUUAAUUAAUUAGUUAGUUAAGGAUAGUUAGCUUCUCAUGGGCACAUAGGUGCAUGAACCUGAAUCUAUACUCUUACAUUUGCAACGGAGACCUGGGUUGUGCUCCUGAGUAAUGAUAGCACAGUAUUUCACUGAGAAAUGGAGUGUGACUUCAGAGAGGCUGCUGGGAAUUCUUGGUUAUUAUCGUGGGCUUUGUCACUGUGGCUAGGAUGAACAGAUAGAACAGCAUGCCUUAUCACUUGGGACACCGUAUCCUACCUAAGUAAAUGUAUGCUGGAGAAAAGUCAAGGGUUGACCUUCGACUAAGAUGAUCUUUUUUAACAUUUGCAUGUUUGUGUGUGUAUGUGGUAUCUGUGUGUUAUUUGUGUAUGUAUGA